ensembl:ncRNA W04G3.15 ncRNA
ACAGGCCCGAAAAUCUUAUUAUCGGAAGUUUGAAGUUCGGGAGUGAAACUGUCAAAUGGAUGACGCCGAAAAUCGGUAAAACGGAAAGGAGGAUAAACUGAAAGUAAACGUUGUACAACCUUCAAUAUCAAUACUAUUGUACUGU